AGUGAACGCUGGCGGUAGGCCUAACACAUGCAAGUCGAACGGCAGCACAGUAAGAGCUUGCUCUUACGGGUGGCGAGUGGCGGACGGGUGAGGAAUACAUCGGAAUCUACUUUUUCGUGGGGGAUAACGUAGGGAAACUUACGCUAAUACCGCAUACGACCUACGGGUGAAAGCAGGGGAUCUUCGGACCUUGCGCGAUUGAAUGAGCCGAUGUCGGAUUAGCUAGUUGGCGGGGUAAAGGCCCACCAAGGCGACGAUCCGUAGCUGGUCUGAGAGGAUGAUCAGCCACACUGGAACUGAGACACGGUACAGACUCCUACGGGAGGCAGCAGUGGGGAAUAUUGGGCAAUGGGCGCAAGCCUGAUCCAGCAAUACCGCGUGAGUGAAGAAGGACUUCGGGUUGUAAAGCCCCUUUGUUGGGAAAGAAAAGAAGCAGGUUAAUACCCCGCUGUUCUGACGGUACCCAAAGAAUAAGCACCGGCUAACUUCGUG
rnacentral:rRNA from 1 species